CAAGGGUUCCUGUCCAACGUUAAUCGGGGCAGGGUGAGUCGACCCCUAAGGCGAGGCUGAAAAGCGUAGUCGAUGGGCAACGGGUUAAUAUUCCCGUACUGGUGGUAACUGCGAAGGGGGGACGGAGAAAGCUAAAUCAUCCGGGCGACGGUUGUCCCGGUUUAAGCGUGCAGGUGGACUGACCAGGCAAAUCCGGUCGGUUGUUAACACUGAGGCGUGACGACGAGCCACUACGGUGGUGAAGUGAUUGAUGCUCUGCUUCCGGGAAAAGCCUCUAAGCUCCAGGUUACCAUUAAUCGUACCCCAAACCGACACAGGUGGUCAGGUAGAGAAUACU
rnacentral:rRNA from 1 species